AUUGGACGCUGGCGGCAGGCCUAACACAUGCAAGUCGAGCGGAUGAAGGGAGCUUGCUCCUGGAUUCAGCGGCGGACGGGUGAGUAAUGCCUAGGAAUCUGCCUGGUAGUGGGGGAUAACGUCCGGAAACGGGCGCUAAUACCGCAUACGUCCUGAGGGAGAAAGUGGGGGAUCUUCGGACCUCACGCUAUCAGAUGAGCCUAGGUCGGAUUAGCUAGUUGGUGGGGUAAAGGCCUACCAAGGCGACGAUCCGUAACUGGUCUGAGAGGAUGAUCAGUCACACUGGAACUGAGACACGGUCCAGACUCCUACGGGAGGCAGCAGUGGGGAAUUUUGGACAAUGGGCGCAAGCCUGAUCCAGCCAUGCCGCGUGUGUGAAGAAGGUCUUCGGGUUGUAAAGCACUUUAAGUUGGGAGGAAGGGCAGUAAGUUAAUACCUUGCUGUUUUGACGUUACCAUCAGAAUAAGCACCGGCUAACUUCGUG
rnacentral:rRNA from 1 species